GACGAACGCUGGCGGCGUGCUUAACACAUGCAAGUCGAACGGAAAGGCCCUGCUUUUGUGGGGUGCUCGAGUGGCGAACGGGUGAGUAACACGUGAGUAACCUGCCCUUGACUUUGGGAUAACUUCAGGAAACUGGGGCUAAUACCGGAUAGGAGCUCCUGCUGCAUGGUGGGGGUUGGAAAGUUUCGGCGGUUGGGGAUGGACUCGCGGCUUAUCAGCUUGUUGGUGGGGUAGUGGCCUACUAAGGCUUUGACGGGUAGCCGGCCUGGGAGGGUGACCGGCCACACGGGGACUGAGACACGGCCCAGAGUCGUACAGGAGGCAGCAGUAGGGAAUCUUCCGCAAUGGGGGAAAGGGGGAGGGAGCAGCGCGGGGUGAGUGAAGAAGGAGUUCGGUUGGGAAAGCGAUGUUGUUAGGGAAGAAUGAUUGUGUAGUAACUAUACACAGUAGAGACGGUACCUAAACAGAAAGACACGGCUAACUACGUG
rnacentral:rRNA from 1 species